GGCUGUGACCUUAUCAGCACUAAGUAGAGUCAGGUCUGAUUAGUACUUGGAUGAGAGACCUCCAAAGAAAAUCUAAGAUGUUGCAAGUG
ensembl:rRNA 5S_rRNA 5S ribosomal RNA